AUUGAACGCUGGCGGCAGGCCUAACACAUGCAAGUCGAGCGGAUGAGAGGAGCUUGCUCCUCGAUUCAGCGGCGGACGGGUGAGUAAUGCCUAGGAAUCUGCCCAGUAGUGGGGGACAACGUUUCGAAAGGAACGCUAAUACCGCAUACGUCCUACGGGAGAAAGUGGGGGAUCUUCGGACCUCACGCUAUUGGAUGAGCCUAGGUCGGAUUAGCUAGUUGGUAGGGUAAAGGCCUACCAAGGCGACGAUCCGUAACUGGUCUGAGAGGAUGAUCAGUCACACUGGAACUGAGACACGGUCCAGACGCCUACGGGAGGCAGCAGUGGGGAAUAUUGGACAAUGGGCGCAAGCCUGAUCCAGCCAUGCCGCGUGUGUGAAGAAGGCCCUCGGGUCGUAAAGCACUUUAAGUUGGGAGGAAGGGCUUACAGCGAAUACCUGUGAGUUUUGACGUUACCGACAGAAUAAGCACCGGCUAACUUCGUGCCAGCCGCCGCCGUAA
rnacentral:rRNA from 1 species